AUGAACGCUGGCGGCGUGCCUAAUACCUGCAAGUCGAGCGAACAGACGAGGAGCUUGCCCCUCUGACCUUAACGGCCGACGGGGGAGUAACACGUGGAUAACCUACCUAUAAGACUGGGAAAAACUCGGGAAACCGGAGCUAAUACCGGGUAAUAUAUUUAACCCCAUGGUUUAAUUGUUAAAAGCGGUUUUGCUUGUCCCUUUUGAUUGGUUCCGCGCCGCAUUAGCUAGUUGGUAAGGUAACGGCUUACCAAGGCAACGAUGCGUAGCCGACCUGAGAGGGUGAUCGGCCACACUGGAACUGAGACACGGUCCAGACUCCUACGGGAGGCAGCAGUAGGGAAUCUUCCGCAAUGGGCGAAAGCCUGACGGAGCAACGCCGCGUGAGUGAUGAAGGUCUUCGGAUCGUAAAACUCUGUUAUUAGGGAAGAACAAAUGUGUAAGUAACUAUGCACGUCUUGACGGUACCUAAUCAGAAAGCCACGGCUAACUACGUG
rnacentral:rRNA from 1 species